GGGUUGUGAGGUUAAGCGACUAAGCGUACACGGUGGAUGCCCUGGCAGUCAGAGGCGAUGAAGGACGUGCUAAUCUGCGAUAAGCGUCGGUAAGGUGAUAUGAACCGUUAUAACCGGCGAUUUCCGAAUGGGGAAACCCAGUGUGUUUCGACACACUAUCAUUAACUGAAUCCAUAGGUUAAUGAGGCGAACCGGGGGAACUGAAACAUCUAAGUACCCCGAGGAAAAGAAAUCAACCGAGAUUCCCCCAGUAGCGGCGAGCGAACGGGGAGCAGCCCAGAGCCUGAAUCAGUGUGUGUGUUAGUGGAAGCGUCUGGAAAGGCGCGCGAUACAGGGUGACAGCCCCGUACACAAAAAUGCACAUACUGUGAGCUCGAUGAGUAGGGCGGGACACGUGGUAUCCUGUCUGAAUAUGGGGGGACCAUCCUCCAAGGCUAAAUACUCCUGACUGACCGAUAGUGAACCAGUACCGUGAGGGAAAGGCGAAAAGAACCCCGGCGAGGGGAGUGAAAAAGAACCUGAAACCGUGUACGUACAAGCAGUGGGAGCACGCUUAGGCGUGUGACUGCGUACCUUUUGUAUAAUGGGUCAGCGACUUAUAUUCUGUAGCAAGGUUAACCGAAUAGGGGAGCCGAAGGGAAACCGAGUCUUAACUGGGCGUUAAGUUGCAGGGUAUAGACCCGAAACCCGGUGAUCUAGCCAUGGGCAGGUUGAAGGUUGGGUAACACUAACUGGAGGACCGAACCGACUAAUGUUGAAAAAUUAGCGGAUGACUUGUGGCUGGGGGUGAAAGGCCAAUCAAACCGGGAGAUAGCUGGUUCUCCCCGAAAGCUAUUUAGGUAGCGCCUCGUGAAUUCAUCUCCGGGGGUAGAGCACUGUUUCGGCAAGGGGGUCAUCCCGACUUACCAACCCGAUGCAAACUGCGAAUACCGGAGAAUGUUAUCACGGGAGACACACGGCGGGUGCUAACGUCCGUCGUGAAGAGGGAAACAACCCAGACCGCCAGCUAAGGUCCCAAAGUCAUGGUUAAGUGGGAAACGAUGUGGGAAGGCCCAGACAGCCAGGAUGUUGGCUUAGAAGCAGCCAUCAUUUAAAGAAAGCGUAAUAGCUCACUGGUCGAGUCGGCCUGCGCGGAAGAUGUAACGGGGCUAAACCAUGCACCGAAGCUGCGGCAGCGACGCUUAUGCGUUGUUGGGUAGGGGAGCGUUCUGUAAGCCUGCGAAGGUGUGCUGUGAGGCAUGCUGGAGGUAUCAGAAGUGCGAAUGCUGACAUAAGUAACGAUAAAGCGGGUGAAAAGCCCGCUCGCCGGAAGACCAAGGGUUCCUGUCCAACGUUAAUCGGGGCAGGGUGAGUCGACCCCUAAGGCGAGGCCGAAAGGCGUAGUCGAUGGGAAACAGGUUAAUAUUCCUGUACUUGGUGUUACUGCGAAGGGGGGACGGAGAAGGCUAUGUUGGCCGGGCGACGGUUGUCCCGGUUUAAGCGUGUAGGCUGGUUUUCCAGGCAAAUCCGGAAAAUCAAGGCUGAGGCGUGAUGACGAGGCACUACGGUGCUGAAGCAACAAAUGCCCUGCUUCCAGGAAAAGCCUCUAAGCAUCAGGUAACAUCAAAUCGUACCCCAAACCGACACAGGUGGUCAGGUAGAGAAUACCAAGGCGCUUGAGAGAACUCGGGUGAAGGAACUAGGCAAAAUGGUGCCGUAACUUCGGGAGAAGGCACGCUGAUAUGUAGGUGAAGUCCCUCGCGGAUGGAGCUGAAAUCAGUCGAAGAUACCAGCUGGCUGCAACUGUUUAUUAAAAACACAGCACUGUGCAAACACGAAAGUGGACGUAUACGGUGUGACGCCUGCCCGGUGCCGGAAGGUUAAUUGAUGGGGUUAGCGCAAGCGAAGCUCUUGAUCGAAGCCCCGGUAAACGGCGGCCGUAACUAUAACGGUCCUAAGGUAGCGAAAUUCCUUGUCGGGUAAGUUCCGACCUGCACGAAUGGCGUAAUGAUGGCCAGGCUGUCUCCACCCGAGACUCAGUGAAAUUGAACUCGCUGUGAAGAUGCAGUGUACCCGCGGCAAGACGGAAAGACCCCGUGAACCUUUACUAUAGCUUGACACUGAACAUUGAGCCUUGAUGUGUAGGAUAGGUGGGAGGCUUUGAAGUGUGGACGCCAGUCUGCAUGGAGCCGACCUUGAAAUACCACCCUUUAAUGUUUGAUGUUCUAACGUGGACCCGUAAUCCGGGUUGCGGACAGUGUCUGGUGGGUAGUUUGACUGGGGCGGUCUCCUCCUAAAGAGUAACGGAGGAGCACGAAGGUUGGCUAAUCCUGGUCGGACAUCAGGAGGUUAGUGCAAUGGCAUAAGCCAGCUUGACUGCGAGCGUGACGGCGCGAGCAGGUGCGAAAGCAGGUCAUAGUGAUCCGGUGGUUCUGAAUGGAAGGGCCAUCGCUCAACGGAUAAAAGGUACUCCGGGGAUAACAGGCUGAUACCGCCCAAGAGUUCAUAUCGACGGCGGUGUUUGGCACCUCGAUGUCGGCUCAUCACAUCCUGGGGCUGAAGUAGGUCCCAAGGGUAUGGCUGUUCGCCAUUUAAAGUGGUACGCGAGCUGGGUUUAGAACGUCGUGAGACAGUUCGGUCCCUAUCUGCCGUGGGCGCUGGAGAAUUGAGGGGGGCUGCUCCUAGUACGAGAGGACCGGAGUGGACGCAUCACUGGUGUUCGGGUUGUCAUGCCAAUGGCACUGCCCGGUAGCUAAAUGCGGAAGAGAUAAGUGCUGAAAGCAUCUAAGCACGAAACUUGCCCCGAGAUGAGUUCUCCCUGACUCCUUGAGAGUCCUGAAGGAACGUUGAAGACGACGACGUUGAUAGGCCGGGUGUGUAAGCGCAGCGAUGCGUUGAGCUAACCGGUACUAAUGAACCGUGAGGCUUAACCUUACAACGCCGAAG
rnacentral:rRNA from 1 species